UCAGGCAGCAGAAAAAGCCUUGAAGGCAGCGUGGUAUGCUAAAGACGCAAACAAGAUAAACGGAGUAAUGGCUAGCCACAGUUUGGAACUGAUAGCUAGAGAUCUGGGAUCGUCAAUACUGUUUCUAGCCAAACGUUUGUCAGACGUGACGGGAGAUUACAAAGCAAUGAGGUAUCCGCGCUGCUUGCCAGGUCAGCAGAUCCCUGCUGAGGCAUAUUCUAAGGAAACAGCAACAGCAGUGAUUGAUGUUGCUCAAGAACUGUUAGCAUUAGUCCAUAGUAAUUAUAUCAAAUAAGGAUAUUGCCCCACAGGAAUAGUCUAAUGUGUAUGUAUAUCAUAAAUUACAGAAUCUUGGUCGAAUAUACCCAAUGUUUUAUUCUUUAGAAAUAUAUAUUCUUCAUAAUAAAGAUGCAAGAAAACACCUACUGUAAUUAUUAGUUCAUUACAUUAUUCUAUGUCGGACAUUCUAAGAAGAACUUUGCAUGGGCUGCUUUAUUUGUCUUAUCAUGUUGUAUUUACUGUUUGAUUGAAAACGUUCGGUUAUAAUUACAUACUUAGAGUGAAAUACAUGUCCAUAUGUAAAACGUUGUUUUAUUUCAUAUUCUUACUCGUAAAAAUAUGCUGAGGGUGUGUAAAUAUUAUUUUGCUCGUUAUAGAACAUAUUUCCGUUUAUGAUUGAUGCAGUUUGGUAUAUAGUACCUUUGUUGCGCUUACAUGUUAUAUAUUGUGCGUUUUAAUCGACCUGGCGGGGUGGGGCUCCGCGACGGUUCACUGCAUUUCUUUGCAGUAUUUGUAGUAUAUUCGGCAACAUGAUAUCUUAUUCAGUGGUCAUCUAGCUUACAUUGAAACCAAUGUAGCGUUGCAUUUUAGUCGUUGGUUACAGUUAAACAAUUAUAUUCCUCUAACUAUUUUGCUCGUUUUUGAUAUUGCCAUUAUUGCAGAAGGUAAAAAUUAACUCAGCCCCACCAGGUCAAAUAAAACGUACAAUACUACAAAUAUUUCUAUGUGAUUGUAUUCAGAGUCUACGGUUAAUCAUAUCUGAUAUAGAAUCAUAUCUGAUCAAGUAAAAUGCACUGCCACUUACCAUAGUAUGUGCAGUCAGUAAAAAAUAAAACAUUAUGUCCUAAAAUAACCAAUUAGUUACAGUUUAUAGUUUUGAACACAUUGUGCUGCAUUAUGUUAGUGUAAAUGAUAGACUGUUUUCAUAUGAGAAGAUUCUAUUUUAGAGAGAUGAUCAUAUUCUGUAAAGGCACGUGUCAUGUCGAAAGUGCGUUCAUUUUGCUUGCAAGUGCAAAGGUUAAUUAAUGCGUCGCUGGUUUGAAUUAGAUAUCACCUCUGUUUGAGAGAUAUAGUGUUAAGCUAACGCUUCUGUAACAGAACCUUUAAGAACAUUUUGGAAGUAUUUCAAAAACCUAGAAUGAAGGUUGUUCAAAGAGCAAUAUAGAUUUUUUACGAGCUUGUUUUCUUCAUAGAUGAACACAAAUGACUGUGUAUAAUUUUAUAUGCAUAUAUUUAUCAGUUGUAAAUAGUUUCAACAGAUGUCGUUGUUUACAUAGUUUUUAACAUUUUUUAAGUGAAAUAUUGUAAAAUUGUUCAUAAAAUUAAAUUGUUCACAUCGUUAUGAAUUGUGCACUUAAAUUGAUAUGAGCAUUAAAUUUUACACUAUAUAAAGUACUGUAUCUGUAGCCGCUUACAUCAUUCAUCGGAAAAGGUUAUACCAUAUCGUAUAUUUGUGGACAAUUAAUUUCAUUUGUUCACAUAUAUUAAAGACAUUUUAGCGCACGUUGCUCAAUACCAGCUUGCUUUGUAGCGAGACGUAAAAGCUUCGCUGUUGUGGCAACAACUAUUAUUUGACGAUACGAUUGUCGUUGCAAACUUGUACAGUACAGGGUCAGUGUAAAUAAAUGUUCUAUAAGUUAGAGAGUAAAUUAAAUCAAUUUUUGCAUAAACGUUUUAUCUAAUACAUUGGACAUCUUUGCAGAUAUAAGCUGACUCAUUUUCAAACCCAUUUUGUAAUUUGUUUGUAAAAAUAAUAUGUAUAGAUAAACGUUUGACAAUAUGUUAUUUUAAAUUCUACUUUAACAUGUUUAAUUAUAUACUUGUUUAAUAUGCGUUAUAGUCUUUCUAUUAGUUGAUAGCCGUUAUGUCAUCUAUUUUUUCAGAUAUGUUAUGCUGUUUAUUGAAUCUCCCUGUCAUCAAGCUUUCAAUUUUUUCUAUUAUGUUAAUGAUUAUUGCAAUUUGCAGUUGUCUAACAGAAGAUUUGUGUAUUUCUGCUAUUCUAUGCGUUAGUUCGUUCGUUUUCUGCAAAGAAAUGACAUUUCUGUAAAUGGUGUACCUUGUAAACGACAUUAUAAUCUCUGUUCUGAGAAAUAUUGCCAUAUGACAUUAACCUCUUAGGUUAUUUGUCAAUUAUUUAUCUUGUUAAUACGUACAUUCAUUUUACUCCAUUUCACUUGUUUUUCAAAUACUGCAUAUCAUGUUUUAUGUAUAAAGAUAUUGGUACAUUGAUUCUGGUUUCUCUUGCUGGAAAAAAUCAUUGCUUUAUUACUGAUAAUCAGUAUUUUAUUAUCAUGCGUACACCGGAGAUACUGUUAUUUCUCACCGUCCGUAGGUCAACAAUUUCUUUGAAUAAUUUCCUCUCUGAAACAUUGGCUGACAAUUAAUGAAACUUGUCCUGUAUGGUCCUUGAUGGACCUCUUCUAAAUGUGUUCAUAGGGUUUCGCUUGGUUGCAGAUGGGUACCGCCGGAACCAAGAAACAGAACAAAAUCUUAAAACGACAUGUACAACUUAACAUAAUUUGUUCAAAGUAUAAAAUGAAACCAUGAAAACUUGCAUGACUGUCACCUGAAAAAAAAUCAGAAAGUGCUUCAAACAAGACUUCCUCAUAAACGAUUUUUCUUCUUGUGAAAUAAUUUUACACAGAUAUUUUUUUCGUCGACCCUCUCCAAAGAUUGACUAAAAUUACAGCUUGUAGGCGUGAUAAAUUUUACAUAGAUUUCUCUGUAUGCCACUAUAGAAAUACUAUUAUAAGGACACGGAAUACAUCUCCAUUGGCGCCGCAGUUGAUAUUUUAUCGUCAUAUAUGUUUCGUGUUCCAAACCAGGUCUUAAAUUCCAAUGUUAGACAAAUUAGGUCAUCAAAACACGUUUGUAAUUUUAGAUUUUGAAAUUCGUUCGAAAGUAACUAAUGAUUUAUUCUUAUUUUUUCUAAAGCUUACACAACAUUUAAAGUUAUUAGAUAUUAGUUUACUCCUAUAAAGUAACGUAGUAUUGCUGAUUUGAAAUAACUUCUGUAUCGAUGCUUACAUGUUAUUGUAUUGCUCGCGGGAAACUCGUUUUCUGUUGCUUAUAUUAAUCGGAGUAAAUUUUGUGUUGGUACAUGUAUGUCUGUCUUUUGUUUUAGUUGAUUUGUAACGAUUGCUAUAAUAAUUGCUAAAAUGAGGUCACUUUUAUUUUGCCUAUAUUGAUUGUUGCAAAUGAAGUAACUUUUAAUAAACUAUGUUUGAGUAACGCUGCAUAUUUGUUCAUUGUAUUGCAUAUUUGUUCAUGAAUUUUGUAUUUCUUAUUUGCAACCUUUGUAUAAUGAGUGACUUUUGUAUUACUCAUACAUUAUGGAGUUAUUUGAUAAACUAUGUUUGAGUAUCUUUCGUAUUGCAUACUUGUUCAUGAAUUUUGUAUUUCUUAUUUGUAACUAUUGUAUAAUGCGACUUUGUAUUACUCAUACAGUAUGAUGAUAAUUAUGUAGUAAUUCUGUGUAAGUUUUUUCAGCUCACCAGUCACGUAGUGACAUGAUGAGCUUUUGUGUCCGCUCUUUGUCAGGUCGGCGUCGUCCGUCGGCGUCGUCCUUAGUCCGUCUACAAUUUUUUUGUGAACAUGAUAACGACCACAUUUUGCAAUCGAUUUAAAUCAAACUUGCACACAACAGUUACUUGUAUUGGCAUAAUAUCCCGGUUCUUUCGAACGCUGGCUAGAUCCCAUCAUUGGUUCCAGUGUUAUGGCUCAUUAAAAGGCCAUAAUUUGCUAUUUUGGCUUGCAAACACGAUAGAGACCAUAUUUUGCCAUCGAAUUUAAUUAAACUUGGACACAACAUGUAUUGGUUUCUUUCGAAAGAUGGCCAGAUCCCAUCAUGGCUUCCAGAGUUAUUCCUCUUAAAGGGUCAUAAUUUGCUAUUUGGCUUGAUUUGACACAAACUUGCAAAAUAUUUUUAACAACAAUAGAUCUUGGAUUCCAUGAUGAAUCCACCAGAUCCAAUUAUAGGUUCCGGAGUUACGGCCCCUAAUUGACCCCUGAAAUAGCCAAAAUUUAAUUUUUGCCUUGCGAACAUGAUAGAAAUGACAAUUUACAUUUUAUUUAAACCAUACUUACACACAAAUUAAGUCACAAUACGGUCUCUGUUCCUUAAAAACCGGCUAAAUUCUAUAAUAGGUUGUAAAGUGACUGCCCUUGAAAGGGGAAAAUUUUUCUUUUUUGGUCCUUUCAGCCGUACAAAAGUUUCAUUUAUGCUUUGAUUUGAUACAAACUUGCACAGAAUAUUAUCUUAAUGAUUCCUCGGUCAAAUUCGAAACUGGGUCAUAUAGGAUCAAAAACUAGGUCACAGUGACAAAUUGAAAGAAAAGCUUGUUAAAACCCUAGGGGCCAAAUUUAUUUUCCUGUCUUGUUGAUUAGGUCCUAUUGCCGGUUCAAAAACUAGGUUAAAUCAAAGGAAAACCUUGUUAACACUCUUGAGGCCAUAUUUAUAAUCCUAUCUUCAUGAAACUUGCUCGGAAUGUUUAUCUUGAUGAUUCUUAGGCCUAUCUCCAUGAAGUUGGGUCGGAAUGUUUAUACUGAUGAUUCUAGGCCAAGUGGGAAACUAGGUCAUGUGGGGUCAAUCACUAGGUUAUCCGCUCAAAUCAAAGGAAAAGCUUGUUAACACUCAUUAGACCAUAUUUAUGCCUCUAACUUCAUGCAACUUAGUCAGAAUGUUUAUCUUGAAGAUUUCAAGGCGAAGUUUAACAGGUGAGCGAUAUAGGGCCAUGAUGACCCUCCUGUAAUGAACAUCAUUGCAACUUUUUAAUUGCUGAGAAUGAAAUCACAUUCCUUUUAUUUUGUUCUUAUGCAAAACCGUUUGCAGAAAAUGAAAAAUAAGUAAUAAGUUCAUAUUUCUUAGUUCACAAAAUAAUUUCAUCAUAAUGGAUAUUUCAAAAUAGAGUGGUACAACAGAAGAGCUGUUUAGUACAACUGCUGAUUAACUUGUACGUCACUACGUGGAAAGAGUCAUAAGAAAACAUUAUCUAGUACAUCAGAUCUACGCCUGUAUCACAUUUGUAAUAUACAGAAAUAGUUAUAAUUCUUCCUUGAUACAAUGUACAUGUAUUUACAUUUUCAUGUAUACAUGGAUAUAUUUGAAACAUGUUAGUUGGUUAGUCUUGAAUACAUUUCUUACCAAUUUAAUGAAACACAUAAGUACUUAUAUGUAAUGUUACAUAUAAUAAACAUUACAGCUAUUCGGUAAAUUUGUAUAUUUAUAAUAAAAAACGAAUAAAAUAA